rnacentral:tRNA from 1 species
UGCUCAGGGAUGGGAAUCGAACCCACAGUGUUCCGCUUACCGGGCAGAUGACAUGUCCACUAGGCUACCCUGGAC